CAGUUUUGUGCUAAAUUCAAAUUUCCCUAAGUUUGACCAAUAUUUUAGGAAAAAAUAUUAACAUCUACAAGUUCAACUAAAUGCAAUACCAGGACAUAGUUCUUGGAGAAUUUAAUAAAACUAGGUUGAUAUGGUAAUGCUGAUGUGUCUUUCUGUAAACUUGGUCAAAAUUAAGAGAGGUUUGACUUAGGACAAAACUAA
rnacentral:pre_miRNA from 1 species